rnacentral:lncRNA from 1 species
UGGCAAGGAGGAUUUAAUGUUUAGACAACCAGGCUAGAAGGUAGUAUAUGAAAUUCAUCAGAAGUUCAAAGGGUUUUAGGACUUUGGAGGUAAGAAGGAGUACAACCUGCUGGUAGAAUCAAGGAAAGUUUUAUGGAGGAGGAGUCUCUGAGAAAGGCCUUAAAUAAUGGGGAACAAUUUGACAUUUGAGAAAGAUAUUUUGGAGCAGGAGACAUGAUGAUGGGAGAGAGAGAACCUAUUUGUGAAGCUGUAAUUUGGUUUGGUUAACUUUUGGGCUUUUAGAAGUUCUGUUGAAGGAUAAAAACGGUUAGGAGAGGGUUGAACUGAAAUUCAGAUGUUUCAUAGAUGAAUGAGUAGGAAAGAAUAUACCCAGAGUUAAGCCUUAGAUGGAUUAUUUUAACAGUGGAGCUUGGGACUGAUAGAAGGAAGAAGGGGGCAGAGAGACCACUGGUUCAGUGUAUGCUUAUGGAUUUGGCACACAUUAUUAUGUACUGGCUACAUCAGCUAAAAGGAUAUAGCAGAUACAGUUUCCAAGUGGGCUAGUUGGGAGAAAAGUGAUGUAAUUUUGAACAGAUUUGGAGAAGAAUAGUCAAGAUGUUACUGUGUUGGACAUGAGCAGCCUGAGACUCAGUUGUGUAUUAAGGAUGGUGCUUUAGAGAAAGGACAGGGAAUUCUGGUUGUGGCUAUCUUGAUAUUAGCAAGUGAUGGCUACAGUGUGGGAAUUAAAUUGUGGAGGAAGAGAUCGUAGCUAAAUACUUAACAUUUCUUAAACACAUUAGGCGCUGUGCAGAACACUUUACACAUAUUAUCUCAUUUAAUCCUCCUGACAAUCCCAUAAGGUAGGUGCUAUUAAUUAUAUCUCUUACAUAGAUAACCCACUUCACAGUGAUGGAAAAUGAGGCCCCAGAUCACAACCAGAAAAUUUUAAAUCUGGGGUUGUACCUGAAGCAGGCUGACUUUAAAUCCUGUGUCAAUCUCUGUUUUAUGCAGCUUCCCAGACAGAGCGAGAGAUUACAAACUGGGAGAUGUACGGACACUUUGGGAAGAGAUCAGAAAGAGAAGUUAGCAAGACCAACGAGGAGCAGGGGGAAAAGGACGUUGGAAAGAAGCCCCAGGACGAGUGAGCUUAGGCUUGAGAGCUACCGGCAUUUUGUCAGAGCAUACAUCAGCAGCUUCUACUUUUGUCCAGCAGUGGGGCUGUUAACAAGGACUGUGGAAGGAGUGGACAGGAGAACCUGCUGGCAUAGCUUCUGUAACAUUUUUGCUUCUUGGUUAAAAAAGAGGAGAAAGGGAAAAGGACAGGAAGCAAAGGAGAGAUGAAGAAGAAGCAUUUUUUUCUACUGACGCUUUUCUUUCAGAUUCACAUAUUGUUAGAAAGAAGUAAUCUUUAUUAUAACCAAAAGGCAAAUAUUACUUGAAGCAGGGAGACAGCAAGAGACUCAGGGAGAAUGAACCACGAGCUCUCCACAGUUGUGUUUCAUUUUCCCAGCCUAACAAGAGGCACCCAAUAUUUUGGUUUUUUAAAUGAAAAGCAAAAUUUAUGUGUAUAUAUAAAAAUAGCUGGAAUACGUGUAUUUCUGGUAUAUGUGGUUUACUGAAAGGAACAGUGAAUGCUUAAAAUUUUUUUCUUGACCAACUUUGCAUGCUUGAAUCUGUUAAUCAGAAUAACUGAUCUGAAAACAACAAUAUGCAGUAUAAUAACCAUUGUUGAACUCCUACCAUCUUGUAUGGUGAAGCUCUGCAUCAUUUCCAAUGUUGAUUUUUUAUUACUUGUUACUGUCUUUGACUGUUGGAUCAACCUUACAUUCUUAUGUCUGGUGGACUGAGCAACUUCACUGAAGAUAACAGUAUGUAAUGUAGCAACCACUGUUCAUUCCUGUCAUUUUGUUUUGAGCUCAUGCAUUAUUUUUAUUGUUUUUAUGUUGUUUUGAUUUUGUCAUCAUUGUUGUUUCAUUAGUUUUUCUAAUCUUUAAAACAAAAAAAGCUGUUUUCUAUGCAAUAAUACUCCUGGA